rnacentral:siRNA from 1 species
ACUGAACGCCUCUAAGUCAG